rnacentral:lncRNA from 1 species
GAGCUUUGACCAAUAUCCAAAGUCUAAAACUAUGCAAUACUCCAACCACUCCAUUUCAGAACGAACUUCGUACGAAACUGAAUUGUCCAAUUUCAUGGACCGAUCGAUAUCGGUUUGAGCCCAAAACUUUGGGAACUUCGUAAUACGGUGGGGGGAAGUCAUUUGGUGAGUUUUGAGUGAUAUCCAAUGGCUAAGACUAUGCAAAAC